GACGAACGCUGGCGGCGUGCUUAACACAUGCAAGUCGAACGGAAAGGCCCUGCUUUUGUGGGGUGCUCGAGUGGCGAACGGGUGAGUAACACGUGAGUAACCUGCCCUUGACUUUGGGAUAACUUCAGGAAACUGGGGCUAAUACCGGAUAGGAGCUCCUGCUGCAUGGUGGGGGUUGGAAAGUUUCGGCGGUUGGGGAUGGACUCGCGGCUUAUCAGCUUGUUGGUGGGGUAGUGGCUUACCAAGGCUUUGACGGGUAGCCGGCCUGAGAGGGUGACCGGGCCAAAUGGGGAUGGGGUUAGGGCCCAACCCCCUACGGGGGGAAGAGGGGGGGAUUUUUGCAAAAGGGGGGGAGCCUGGAUCCAGAAACCCCGGGGGGGGGAUGCCGGCUUUGGGGUUGUAAACCGCUUUCGCCUGUGACGAAGGGGGAGUGACGGUAAUGGUAAAAGAAGCACCGCUUAACUACGG
rnacentral:rRNA from 1 species